rnacentral:tRNA from 1 species
GAAAAGAAAUUAGUUUAAUAGGUAAAACAUAAAUUUGUCAAAUUUAAAUUGCUAUAUAUAUAUUAGCAUUUCUUU